UAGAACUAAGAGACUAAACAGUCAAAUGAUAGAGUAACGUCUUGAAGGGCUGUCAUUAAUGCUCCGAAUUGCAUUAAGUAUAUUAAGAUACUUAAUGUAAUAAGCUCGGUGAAGUCAAGGGAAAGUUACCGUAAUUAUACGAAAGCUACCUCAGUCAGGUGGUGUAACUGAUACCUUGGAUGCCUUUAAA
rfam:Halobacteroides halobius DSM 5150, complete genome.